rnacentral:lncRNA from 1 species
AGCAGCUUUUAGUCCAAGAUGUCAAAAUACAUCAAUAACACAUUCUUUCUUCAUUUCUCCUUUUCAGGUAUAGGGAGAAGGUGGAGGGUAUCCCCAGAGAGAACUUUGCUGCCUUGGACCAUGGUUGGUCCCUGGCAGGAGCACGAGAAGAGAGUCUGAACUUGAUGGUUUCCUUCGUUCCUUCAUUCAUGCAUGUAUUCAUCACCAGACAAACAUUUUUUGCUUCUUGCUACUCUGUCCCAGGCAUCCUGCUGGCUCUGGGAUUCUAAGGACAAGCAAAAUAAGAUGUAGCCUGAACCCUCAUGGAGAUGACACUCUAGUUCAGGAAUCAGGCACUUCUCCAAUAAUUAGACUGGUGCAUAAGAGUCUCCUGCUGGAGCCAUGAAGGAAUGCUGGCAGCAGGUGACCUGAGGACCUGUUCAAUGAGGUCCAAUAAGGCUUUUCCAGUGAGGUGGACUUUCACUUAGACCUGAAGGACGGUAGGAAUUAAUAUGGCAGUGAAGUGGACGAGGAGACCCUGGACCAUUUCUGUUGCCUCCUUAUGCAUCUGGCCCAGCUUCAUCCUGGGCACUCCACUUUGGCCUGUGCUUCAGCUCCUGGCGUGAGUUUGGGGUCCCAGGAACUUACCCUGCACUUUUUUUUUGUUUUUUUUUUUGCUUCUCUUCUUCUUAUUGCCUCAAACUCUCACCCUGAUCCCUUUAGCAGCUUGUUGAGUUUGAAAUCUUCUAGGCUAAUUCUUCUUCUUCUUUUUUUUUUUGUACCAGGGAUUAAACCCAGGGGUGCUUAACCACAGCCCUUUAAAAAAAUAUUUAGAGACAGGGUCUCAUUGAAUUGCUUAGGGCCUCACUAAGUUCCUGAGGCUGGCUUUGAACUCACUAUCCUCCUGCCUCAGUCUCUUGAGCUGCUGGGAUUACAAGUGUGCAACAUGGUGCUCAGUUUAGCCUGACUCUUGAGGUUCAGCUUUGAGUUCCUAGGGUGGCUGGGGCUCUGGGUUAGAUCCUCAGGUGCUGCUGCCUUGUCUAAUCUCCUCCUCUUUGCCUUCUACACCUCACUUGUGGUUACUAUAGUUUCCUGUGAUUUCUAAUUACUGAGAGACUAUGCUUAGGUCCUUCCCUCAGCUCCAUAAGCUUUUUGAGGUUCUUUUCUCCUUCUCAUCUUUGUCUUCCUUGUCGUUGCCUAGGGCAAAAUCUGAGUAUAACAUACUACUCCUUUGAACAUUUACUAGGAGCCAAGCAGCAUUCAAAAGAUCUAAUACCUAAUUACUCAUUUAACCCUCACCUAUACUCUGAGCAAGCCACUUCUCCUUAUAGGUGCAGGAUGGUUAAUAUGGGGCUUGACACCAGCCUCUGGAACCAGGAAUACCUGGGUUCAAGUACUGGCUUUUCUGCUUAUUAGCUGUGUGGAUUUAAGCAAGUGACUCAGCUUCUCUGAGGUUUACUUUGCUAAUGGAAAAGUGAUAUCCACUUAUAGGAGUAAUUAUGAGGAUUAAAUGAAAUAAUACAUGUCAAAUACUUAGCAUAGAACUGAAGAGUCAGUGCUUAGUAAUGGCAAAUGAUAUUUUAAUUAUUU